GGGUUGUGAGGUUAAGCGACUAAGCGUACACGGUGGAUGCCCUGGCAGUCAGAGGCGAUGAAGGGCGUGCUAAUCUGCGAUAAGCGCCGGUAAGGUGAUAUGAACCGUUAUAACCGGCGAUACCCGAAUGGGGAAACCCAGUGUGAUUCGUCACACUAUCAUUAACUGAAUCCAUAGGUUAAUGAGGCGAACCGGGGGAACUGAAACAUCUAAGUACCCCGAGGAAAAGAAAUCAACCGAGAUUCCCCCAGUAGCGGCGAGCGAACGGGGAGGAGCCCAGAGCCUGAAUCAGCAUGUGUGUUAGUGGAAGCGUCUGGAAAGGCGCGCGAUACAGGGUGACAGCCCCGUACACAAAAGCGCAUGUGCUGUGAGCUCGAUGAGUAGGGCGGGACACGUGGUAUCCUGUCUGAAUAUGGGGGGACCAUCCUCCAAGGCUAAAUACUCCUGACUGACCGAUAGUGAACCAGUACCGUGAGGGAAAGGCGAAAAGAACCCCGGCGAGGGGAGUGAAAAAGAACCUGAAACCGUGUACGUACAAGCAGUGGGAGCACCCUUCGG
rnacentral:rRNA from 2 species